CAAGGGCAAUUCAGUGAGAAACUCUGGGAGUAACUCGGAGUAACUCUGAGUUUCUCAGAUUCUUCCCGAGUUUUUCAAUUCCCACCCGAUUGUCGAUACCUUGGUAUAUGCAACCAUGACAAUGUUGUUUGUUUAUGUUUUUUCGCAAAUGUGAAAUGCCAUGCUUCGUACAAGGAAAAUUUCAACACAAAUCCGAACCACGCCCGGAACAGCCUGACCAACUGCGGCAUCCGGCAGCCCGAGUAUGGUGACCGGAAGAUUCAUUACAGUUUCCGGAUCUGGAGGAAGGUGGCAUUGCAACGUACCGCGCAGCGAUCGUCCAGAAUCAACAUCUCAAAAUGAACGCGGCCAAGCAGGCGCUCGAAAACUCCAAGGAUUUGUUCCCGCAGUGGGAUCACCCAAAGUGCGUCUUUGUGCAGAGAUUAAAGCGGCAAAAGGUGAGGACCGAUGACCGGUCCGCCACUAUCGACGCGAUUCUUAGGACCUGGGCACGGACCCGUACCGGAAGCGACGCCGCAAGGUGAUGACGGAUUCGCCCCAACUGUCCAAACAGUCCCAGGUCAAGAGCGAAAGUGAAAGUGACGACUCGGAGAGGGAGCGAAGGCGA